CCAAUAGCGUAUAUUAAAGUUGUUGCAGUUAAAAAGCUCGUAGUUGAAUUUCGGGAUCAAUAUAUCGGUCGUGCCUUGGUACGUACUGGUAUCAUUGGUUUCUCCUUUCUGACGAACCAUGAUGUCAUUAAUUUGGUGUUAUGGGAAGUUAGGACUGUUACUUUGAAAAAAUUAGAGUGUUUAAAGCAGGCUUUAGCUUGAAUACAUUAGCAUGGAAUAAUGAAAUAGGACGUUCGAACCUAUUUUGUUGGUUUCUAGGAUCAACGUAAUGAUUAAUAGGGAUAGUUGGGGGCAUUAGUAUUCAAUUGUCAGAGGUGAAAUUCUUGGAUUUAUUGAAGACUAACUACUGCGAAAGCAUUUGCCAAGGAUGUUUUAAUUAAUCAAGAACGAAAGUUAGGGGAUCGAAGACGAUCAGAUACCGUCGUAGUCUUAACCAUAAACUAUGCCGACUAGGGAUCGGAUGAUGUUAAUUUUUUAAUGACUCAUUCGGCGCCUUACG
rnacentral:misc_RNA from 1 species